CUAUAUCUUCUUUAAUGAGAUGUCUACUCAAGUCUUUUNCCCACUUUUAAAACUGGGCUGUUUAUUUUCUUAUUGUUGAGUUCUCAGAGUUUGUUGGAUAUUUUGAAUGAAAGUCCAUUCAGAUAAGUUCUUUGCAAAUAUUUUCCUCCAGUCUGUAGCUUACCUUUUCAUUCUCUUCGUGGUGGUCUUUUGCAGGCUGAAAGCUUUUAAUUUUUUUUUUUUUUUAGGGCCACACUUGGAGCAUAUGGAGGUUCACAGGCUAGGGGUUACAUUGGAGCUGUAGCUGCCAGCCUAUGCCAGAGUCACAGCAACGCGGGACCUAAGGCACAUCUGCAACGGACACCACAGCUCACAGCAACGCUGGAUCCUUAACCCACUGAGCAAGGCCAGGGAUCGAACCCACAUCUUCUGGAUGCUAGCUGUGUCGCUAAUGCCUAAAAGCUUUCAAUUUUAAUGAAGUCCAGCUUAUCAAUUAUUCUUUCACAGAUCUUAACUUAUAGUGUUAUAUCUAAAAAGUCAUCAUCAUACCCAAGCUCAUCUAGGUUUUCUCCUAUGUUAUCAUCUGGGAGUUUUAUAGUUUUACAUUUAGAUCUAUGAUCCAUUUUGAGUUAGUUUUUGUGAAAAGUAUAAGGCCUUUGUCCAGAUCCAGUAUUUUGCAUGUUGAUGUCUGCUUAUUUCAGCACCAUGUGUUGCAAAGAUGAUCAUUUCUCCAUUGUAUCAUCUUGCUCCUUUGUCAAAGAUCAGUUGACUAUGUUAUGUGGGUCUAUUUCUAAACUCUCUGUUCUGUUCCAUUGAUCUAUUUGUCUCUUCUUUUGCCAAUACCACACUGUCUUGAUUACUGCAGUUUUAUAGUAAAGGUUGAAAUUGGGUAGUUUGCUCUCUGAUUUUGUUCUAUAAUAUUCUGGGUCUUUUCCCUCUCCGUAUAAACUUUAGAAUCAGUUUGCCAACAUUUGCAGAAUAACUUGCUGGGAUUUUGAUCUGAAUUGUAUUAAAUCUAUAGACCAAAUUGGGAAGAGCUGACAUCUUGACACUAUUGAGUCUCCCCAUCUAUGAACAUGUAACAUCUCUCAAUUUAUUUUGUUCUUUCAUCAGAGUUUUGUGGUUUUUCUCAUAUAGAUCUUGUAUUUUGUUACCUUUAUACCUAAGGAUUUUAUUUUUUGGAGUACUAAUGUAAAUGGUAUCGUGUCUUAAAAUUCAAGUUCCACUUGUUUAUAGGAAAGCAAUUGAUUUUUGUGUAUUAAUCUUGUAUCUUGCAACCUUGCUAACAUUGCUUAUUGGUUCCAGAGUGUUUUUGUCAGUUUCAGACUUUUUGCAUAGAUGAUCAUGUCAUCUAUGAACAAAGACAAUUUUGUUUCUUGUUUUCCAAUUUAUAUUCCGUCUGUCUCAUUGCAUUAACUAGCACUGACACAACAAUGUUGAAAAAGAGUGGUGAGAUAAGACAUUCUUGUCUUGUACCCAAUCUUAGUAGGAAAUCUUCUAGUCCCAUCAUUAAGCAUGAGAGAUGUAUUGUUUUUGCAGAUGUCCAUAAUCUGUAUGAAUAACCAUAAUUUUAAUCUGUUUUGUGUGAGUAUCGUAAGUCUUUUGAAAUAUUACUUAGAAGUGGAACAAUAGGCACUCAGGUAAUGCUGAACUAUGAAAGCAAGUUUACCAGAUAUCACUUUUAUAAAAAUGUGCUUUAAAUCAACUAGCUAAAGAAAAUUGUUCAUAAGUAGUUUCACACUAAACUCCAGAAAACAUAGGUUCCUCUGGCUGGUCUUUAGUCUAUGUGUUGUUAAAUACAUUCUUUCCUAACUGACCAUAAUUAAAUGUUAUGGAUUCUACCACUAUGAUCUAUAUUUUGUUCACCAUUAGUUUCAUGAUGGUUUCAAUAAUUACAUCUUUCAACCUUUUUUGUGUGGCUAGCACUAUACUAAAAUACAAAAAGACGUUUAAGUCAGAGUGUCCUGCUUCUAGGGACUUAAAGAUCUAUUAAGGGGUCAAGAGAGACAUUAGGAACAGCCAAGAGACAAUGCAAAGCAGAGUAUAAUUAAUCAUCAAAAUGAGAGAUGUUGGUUAUAAGGGCAAAAGAAGUGCAGGAUACGGAAGACAAUGUGGACGAGAGAUAUUAUGGAAGAUAUUAGAAAACAGUAAGAAGUUAGUUCUCAUAGGGUAGGCUGGAUUGACAAAUGUGAAAGCAAGAGGGAAAGGUAUUUCUUCCAGGUAUCUGGUCAGCAUGAGCAAUGGCUUGGAGUUGGGAAUGAGCAUGAUAUGACUAAGAACAGUAGAAGCAGAGCAUGAAAAGAAUGGUCAUGGAGCUUAGAUGGAUCCAUGCAGUAAGUAUCUCCUUAAGGUGUGUUGGUUGGUGAUUUUAUUUUCUCUAAUGAUAAAGGAGGGGAACUUUACACUUUUACAGAACAAUUACAACCAUGAUUUAGUUUCAGUUUGUACUGUGCAUUUUAAGUAAUUGUAGGAAUAUGACAGGAUGACCAAAACUGCCCCUCCCUUUAGGGUUGUUGGGUUACAAUGUGGUCUUUCCCUCUUUCCCCCUACAGUUUUGGAAGGCAGUGAGAGAACCAGCCUGGAACAGUGGGCUGCUGCAUUUGCAGGUUGGAUGAAGGCAGAUGCUUGGGCCCAUUGAUAAUGUUUGCCUUCUGUUAUUUGAGUUUUCCUCUGACUCCCUCCCGGAAAGUAAGGCGCUAUUCACCCAAAGAAUGAAAGCCCCUUUACUAUCAUUGUAAAGACAGAAUUGGCUGCUGCAUCUAUAGAGAAGUGCUUAGUAUACCAUAUAUGUGCAACUUUGGAGUUCGUGCUACUUUCAGUUGAGCCCCAGUUUUCUAUCUCUUCAAUAACUGGAAAUUUCCUGCGAGUGUGGCUUAUCAUUAUCAUGUUUUAGUGACAGCGAGGAGCCUGCAUCACAGAGCCUUGUUGUAUUAAUGCUCCAGGUUGCUUCUGCUAACCCUCUGAGGAGUAAGACGGUGGAAUGCAAAGGUUACUGGUGCUCUCUGGGGUCAGAGUGCACACAGGGCUAGUAUUGAUCAUCUCCCUGGUUCCUACCCUACUCUGGGGAAGUUUAACAGUCACAGUAGCCACUGCAAAGCUACAUAAAGGUUUCAACAUCAACUUUCCAAAGCUUAAAAAAGGCAGGCAGGGCUGUAUUUCUCUCUCUCUUCAUAGUGCUCAUCAUUUAUAAAUCUUUCACUCUGAAAGAUAGUACCAUAUGUUUUCUUGAAGGGCUUUCUUGAUUACUGUAGAUUAAGGCUAUCAUUUACUAAUAUAUUCAAGAGUGUUUAUUGCAAAAAUCCUAUGCUUGGGGUUGGGAAGACAGUGGUGUGCAAAACAGCUAGUCACCGCUCUCAAGGUUCAGAGUAUAGUAGGAAAGGCAAAAAAAUAAACCAUAGCUGAAAUGCAGAGGAAGAGGGAUUCAGGAAGAGGAAGAGCCUGGGCAAAGAACUGGUGUUGUGGGAGCCAAGAGUGCUGGGGAGGGUGGUAAAAGGAAUGCAAACAAAUACCAGCCACAGGGGUAGGAUUCUGACCUUGAUGGUCCCAGAAAGUCCUCCUGAGAAGUGUGACUUUUAUCAGAAGUGCAAUGGGGAACCAUGGAAGAAUUUAAAGCCAAAAGUGCAUACUGGAAAGAUGUACAUUGCACCUAUAUUGAAAACAGAGUUACAGACAAAGGCUUGUUGACAAAUCUUAACUCUCUAAAUGUAUCUCUAAUUCUGCCACAUAGUCACAUAAUCACCUGCUGGCAUUAUUUUUCCUUUUGGUUAAGGAUGAAUUAUGGGGGAAAAAAAUCAAAAGUAGUGCGGGUCCUCUGAAUUCUCUAGGACUCAGAGAUUUCCAUGAGGAUGACUGAGGCGGAGACUGACACUUCAAAACAAUAAAGGAAACUGUUUUCAUAGUGUUCAGAUGAGAAAAGGUGAAUGAAAGCAGUCAAGAUGUUGACAGGGGUUGUUUCUAUUAUGAAUGAUUUUAUAUUAUGACUUAUAUUUUUCAACAGUCUCUAAAUGUCUUUAUUUUAUAACUGAGAAAACACUGUUUUUAAUUUAGAGUAUAGUAAAGUUAAACUUUCCCAAAUUUUUCUUCUUUCUUUUAUUCUUUUAUCUUCCUUCCAUCUCCACCUAUCCCGAAGGUCACAGAGAGCAUGUUUUGAUUCGCUAUUCAUUAUUCAGGACCCUGGGACCCUGGAGGAAAAGUCCUGGGAGGUUAUACUGACACAGAAGUGAUAAAUUCCAUUUCACCAUUGAUUUUUAUAGCUGCUGCAUUUCUUUCAGCCUCUUCUUGCCCCAAGCAGCAUUAAUAAUAGAUGACAUGUCUUCUUCUGAAUUUAAUGUUUAGUCUGUCGCUGAAGCAGGCCCAUGCAACUAACAUGUUCUUGUUUUCUUUUUGGCCACACCCUUGCCAUGUGAAAGUUCCAGGGCCAGGGAUCAAACUCAAGCCAAAGCAGUAACCUGAGCCACAGCAGUAACAAUACACAAUUCUUAACCUCUGGCCACCAGGGAACUCCAACAUGGCUUUUCUUCUGAAAUCCUAUGUCCUGAAAUAGCUCUGAAACAUAUUUAGUGGUGGGGGGUGUGUAGGCUAUCAUCAGAUGUGCAACUUUAACUGAAUGACUUGGAUGACUUGGUCCAGGCCUUAUGUGAGACUUGGGUGAUAGACUCUCUUUUAAACAAAGAAGACACUAAAACACAGAAAGGUUAAGCAACUUGACCAAGGCCAUGGAGCUAGUUAGUGGCACAACUGGGGACUGGAUUUAUACUUAAAUUUUCCUAUUCCUAGACUAUCCUUCUCACUCUGUCUAAUCGCCUGCCCAUUAAUGGGGACAGCCUGGGGAGAAGGUGCUGGGAGGGGAUGUGAUGGCUGCAUGGUGAGCUCAUAACAGGCGCAGAGGGGAUGAGGGAGGUGGGAGGGUGGAGGAUGGAAAUCAACAGGGGAGGAAAACAGGGGGUGGGCCAACCCCAGGGCAAGGCUCAAACAAUCCAGUCUAAUCCAAAUCAGGCUGGCAAGCAUCUUUGAUUGGUCCAUCCGGCUGAGUUCUCCAAGCUGUAUUCCCUGAACUGUGCCCAGCUGGCAGAAUGAAAAUCAUUUGAAAAAUAUCCGGAAAUUGCUACUCACCAGGGAGCAUCUGUGAAAAAUACUGGCCACAAAUGAGCUGGCAGGGACUCAGUAACUGCCAGGUCACUCUGCCAUAGCCAGUUUGUCUGAAGGGGUUCUGCAGUUAUUUCCCAGUUGGGCCACUCAGCUGCUGUAUGUGGUUGGGCCUUGGGGACUUUUUUUUUUUUUUACAGUGUUUCUUUUGAAGCAGGAGAUGUGCUCUAGAAAAGCUAUGGGUAAAUCAGAGUUUCGUACCUGGAAUCAUAGUUUUCAAGUGCACUCAUGAAUAUUCCUGUGGUAACUCUCUAAACUGAAAGAUUUUUCACAAAUAAUUUCCAUUUUGUAAAUCUGGAUUUCUUAAUGCAAAAUUCAUCCAGGGUCAUCCUGGUGAAGAAAUUCCAGGGCAUAGACGUAAUCUGCAUUUUUGCACAAUCAUUGCCGGGAAUGGUAGUGAGAAGCAGGGUUAGAUCAUCUUCUCAGUAGACUGGGAUCCUAAGAUUUGGCAACUUGUCCAGCCUCUGGUCCCAGUGGCUCCUUAGGAAAUCACAGCUGGAAAAACCUAGCCGUUCAUUUCAGCUCGUCGUUUCUUAUGCCUGGUUAUUCCCAGGAUCCUCCAGUGGUUUUUCUUGUCUCCUACAUCCUAAUGUCCUCUUCACAAUGCUGAUGUUCUCAGCAAGAUGUAAUGCAAAUAUUUUGCUUUGAGCUCAGAGUCCAGGCUCUUUGAUCUUCUUUGGGUAUGAGACCACUUGCUGACCCUUCUGGACUGUUUGCUGUUUUCUCUGGUCUUUUCACCUGCUGGGUAGAAUCAAGCAGUUCUUCAGAAAAGAGUGUUCUGAAUUUUAAGAGAACAGUUGAAAUUAAGAGAAUAAAAUGUGUGCUGACCAUUUGUAUUAGUCAGAGUUCUCUAGAGAAACAGAACCAACAGGAUAUAGAUGUAGAGAGACGUGUGUGGAUAUGGGUAUGAGGAGAGUAUCAGAGGAACUGGCCCAUGUGAUUACAGAGUCUGAGAAGCUCCACCGUCUACCACCUGUGAGCAGGAGAACCAAGAAAGCCUGUGGGGUGUUGCCAUUUAGUCAAAGUCCAAAGGUCUGAGAACCAGGGGAGCCACUGGUAUAAGUCUGGGUUGCAGUCCCAGGACCGAAGAUCCAGGAGUGCUCAUGACUGAGGGUGGAGAAGACAGAUGUUCUGGCUUAACACAGACAGCAAAUGUGCCCUUCCUCUACUUUCCUGUUCCAUUCCUGGCUCAGCAGCUUGGACGAUGCCCACCUGCGUGGCGAGGGCAAUGUUUGUUACUCAGUCCACUGAGUCAAACCCUAAUCUCUUCCUGAAGCACCCUGACAUCAUGUUUUAUCAGUUAUCAUGCAUCUCUUAGCCCAGGCAGGCAGACACGUGAAAGGAACCAUUGUACAUCAUCCAAAUCAAAUACACAAACUGCCCUGCUCAUGACCGUCUAUCCUCUCGGUGGCCUGUCUGGGGGCUUCUAUCUCUUUUAAAGACAUGCAAGCCUGAAAAGAAAGAAAGCACAGGGAUGGAAACGAUCUAG
rnacentral:lncRNA from 1 species